rnacentral:pre_miRNA from 1 species
GGUCUGCAGGCUGGUGGGCCCCCAGGCUGGGCUGGGCGAGUACCUCUUAGAAAGGCUCACUCUCAAGCAUGACUAUGAGG